GCUGGCGGCGUGCUUAACACAUGCAAGUCGAGCGAUGAAGCUUCCUUCGGGGAGUGGAUUAGCGGCGGACGGGUGAGUAACACGUGGGUAACCUGCCUCAAAGUGGGGGAUAGCCUUCCGAAAGGAAGAUUAAUACCGCAUAAUAUAAGAGAAUCGCAUGAUUUUCUUAUCAAAGAUUUAUUGCUUUGAGAUGGACCCGCGGCGCAUUAGCUAGUUGGUAAGAUAACGGCUUACCAAGGCAACGAUGCGUAGCCGACCUGAGAGGGUGAUCGGCCACAUUGGAACUGAGACACGGUCCAGACUCCUACGGGAGGCAGCAGUGGGGAAUAUUGCGCAAUGGGGGAAACCCUGACGCAGCAACGCCGCGUGGGUGAUGAAGGUCUUCGGAUUGUAAAGCCCUGUUUUCUAGGACGAUAAUGACGGUACUAGAGGAGGAAGCCACGGCUAACUACGUGCCAGCAGCCGCGGUAAUACGUAGGUGGCGAGCGUUGUCCGGAUUUACUGGGCGUAAAGGGUGCGUAGGCGGAUGUUUAAGUGGGAUGUGAAAUCCCCGGGCUUAACCUGGGGGCUGCAUUCCAAACUGGAUAUCUAGAGUGCAGGAGAGGAAAGCGGAAUUCCUAGUGUAGCGGUGAAAUGCGUAGAGAUUAGGAAGAACACCAGUGGCGAAGGCGGCUUUCUGGACUGUAACUGACGCUGAGGCACGAAAGCGUGGGUAGCAAACAGGAUUAGAUACCCUGGUAGUCCACGCCGUAAACGAUGGAUACUAGGUGUAGGGGGUAUCAACUCCCCCUGUGCCGCAGUUAACACAAUAAGUAUCCCGCCUGGGGAGUACGGUCGCAAGAUUAAAACUCAAAGGAAUUGACGGGGGCCCGCACAAGCAGCGGAGCAUGUGGUUUAAUUCGAAGCAACGCGAAGAACCUUACCUGGACUUGACAUCCCUUGCAUAGCCUAGAGAUAGGUGAAGCCCUUCGGGGCAAGGAGACAGGUGGUGCAUGGUUGUCGUCAGCUCGUGUCGUGAGAUGUUAGGUUAAGUCCUGCAACGAGCGCAACCCUUGUUAUUAGUUGCUACCAUUAAGUUGAGCACUCUAAUGAGACUGCCUGGGUAACCAGGAGGAAGGUGGGGAUGACGUCAAAUCAUCAUGCCCCUUAUGUCCAGGGCUACACACGUGCUACAAUGGUAGGUACAAUAAGACGCAAGACCGUGAGGUGGAGCAAAACUUAUAAAACCUAUCUCAGUUCGGAUUGUAGGCUGCAACUCGCCUACAUGAAGCUGGAGUUGCUAGUAAUCGCGAAUCAGAAUGUCGCGGUGAAUACGUUCCCGGGCCUUGUACACACCGCCCGUCACACCAUGAGAGCUGGUAACACCCGAAGUCCGUGAGGUAACCGUAAGGAGCCAGCGGCCGAAGGUGGGAUUAGUGAUUGGGGUGAAGUCGUAACAAGGU
rnacentral:rRNA from 1 species